AUACGUAAGUGGCGAGCGUUAUCCGGAAUUACUGGGUGUAAAGAGUAUGUAGGCGGCUUGUUAAGUUUUGUGUUAAAUUUCACGGCUCAACCGUGAACUCGCAUGAAAAACUGGCAGGCUUGAGUGGAUGAGAGGAGACUGGAAUUCCUGGUGUAGUGGUGAAAUAUGUAGAUAUCAGGAAGAACACCAAUGGCGAAGGCAGGUCUCUGGCAUCCAACUGACGCUGAGAUACGAAAGCAUGGGGAGCGAACAGGAUUAGAAACCCCGGUAGUCC
rnacentral:rRNA from 1 species